rnacentral:rRNA from 1 species
UGGUGGAGUGAUUUGUCUGGUUAGUUCCGUUAACGAACGAGACCUUAACCUGCUAAAUAGCUACGCGUAGCUUCGGUUACGUGGGCAACUUCUUAGAGGGACGUUGCGUGUCUAACGCAAGGAAGUUUGAGGCAAUAACA